rnacentral:misc_RNA from 1 species
CAAUGUUGUGUUUUCGUCCAAGCGACAAGCGUGGCUCAGUUGGGUACCGCGGAACACCAGGAACUCAAAAUGGCCACUCUAACCACCAACUUGCAAACUUUCCAGUUUCAGCUACUACAGAACAACAUUCAAUUACCCGAGCUUGCCUCUCUUUAUCCUUCACUAUACGUUCACCAAUUAAAAUGCUCACCCUUUUCACCCUCAGACCACUUUCAUCGUCUCCUACACCUUGCCUCACCUCCAACUUCUUCCACUUCUCUCCUCCUUGUUCUACUUCUUUCCUCUAUAGCUUUAGACCCACCAGUCGUUUCAACUUCCCAACUUCUUGUUCUUCUCUCAAACAGACCAAGAAACGAGUGACUCUUCGAAAUACCAAUGCUCCUCAGAGUUUUAGGUGGUUCUUGAAUCCUAAAGGUGGA